AUUGAACGCUGGCGGCAGGCCUAACACAUGCAAGUCGAGCGAGCGGCGGACGGGUGAGUAAUGUCUGGGAAACUGCGUGAUGGAGGGGGAUAACUACUGGAAACGGUGGCUAAUAUCACAUACGAUCAGAUGUGCCCAGAUGGGGUUAGCUAGUAGGUGGGGUAAUGGCUCACCUAGGCGAAGAUCCCUAGCUGGGCUGAGAGGAUGACCAGCCACACUGGAACGGGGACACGGUCCAGACUCCUACGGGAGGCAGCAGUGGGGAAUAUUGCACAAUGGGCGCAAGCCUGAUGCGGCCAUGCCGCUUGUGUGAAGAAGGCCUUCGGUUUGUAAAGCACUGUCAGCGGGGAGGCGUUACCCGCAGAAGAAGCACCGGCUAACUCCGUGCCAGCAGCCGCGGUAAUAC
rnacentral:rRNA from 1 species